CCUACGGGUGGCUGCAGUGGGGAAUAUUGGACAAUGGGGGGAACCCUGAUCCAGCGACGCCGCGUGAGUGAAGAAGUAUUUCGGUAUGUAAAGCUCUAUCAGCAGGGAAGAAAAUGACGGUACCUGACUAAGAAGCCCCGGCUAACUACGUGCCAGCAGCCGCGGUAAUACGUAGGGGGCAAGCGUUAUCCGGAUUUACUGGGUGUAAAGGGAGCGUAGACGGCGCUGCAAGUCUGAAGUGAAAGGCAGGGGCUUAACCCCUGAACUGCUUUGGAAACUGCCAUGCUAGAGUGCUGGAGAGGGAAGUGGAAUUCCUAGUGGAGCGGUGAAAUGCGUAGAUAUUAGGAGGAACACCAGGGGCGAAGGCGGCUUACUGGACAGUAACUGACGGUGAGGCUCGAAAGCGGGGGGAGCAAACAGGAUUAGAUACCCGAGUAGUC
rnacentral:rRNA from 1 species